GGUAAGGCCCCUUCGGGGGUACACGAGCGGCGAACGGGUGAGUAACACGUGAGCAACCUACCCUCAACUUCGGGAUAAGCCUCGGAAACGGGGUCUAAUACCGGAUAUCAUCACAGGCUUCAUGGUUUGUGGUUGAAAGUUCUGGCGGUUGGGGAUGGGCUCGCGGCCUAUCAGCUUGUUGGUGGGGUAAUGGCCUACCAAGGCGUCGACGGGUAGCCGGCCUGAGAGGGCGACCGGCCACACUGGGACUGAGACACGGCCCAGACUCCUACGGGAGGCAGCAGUGGGGAAUAUUGCGCAAUGGACGAAAGUCUGACGCAGCAACGCCGCGUGAGGGAUGACGGCCUUCGGGUUGUAAACCUCUUUCAGCAGGGACGAAGCGAGAGUGACGGUACCUGCAGAAGAAGGACCGGCCAACUACGUGCCAGCAGCCGCGGUAAUACGUAGGGUCCGAGCGUUGUCCGGAAUUAUUGGGCGUAAAGGGCUCGUAGGCGGUUCGUCACGUCGGGAGUGAAAACUCGGAGCUUAACUCCGAGCCUGCUUCCGAUACGGGCAGACUAGAGGUAGGCAGGGGAGAGCGGAACUCCUGGUGUAGCGGUGGAAUGCGCAGAUAUCAGGAAGAACACCGGUGGCGAAGGCGGCUCUCUGGGCCUUACCUGACGCUGAGGAGCGAAAGCGUGGGUAGCGAACAGGAUUAGAUACCCUGGUAGUCCACGCCGUAAACGUUGGGCGCUA
rnacentral:rRNA from 1 species